rnacentral:tRNA from 1 species
GCCGACAUAGCUCAGAUGGUAGAGCGCGUCCAUGGUAAGGACGAGGUCUCGGGUUCGAUCCCCGAUGUCGGCUCCA